GGACUCUUCGGAGUUAGUGGCGGACGGGUGAGUAACGCGUGAGAAUCUGCCUACAGAUUGGGGACAACGUCGGGAAACUGACGCUAAUACCGAAUGUGCCGAGAGGUGAAAGAUUUAUCGUCUGUAGAUGAGCUCGCGUCUGAUUAGCUAGUUGGGGCGGUAACGGCGCACCAAGGCGACGAUCAGUAACUGGUCUGAGAGGAUGACCAGUCACACUGGGACUGAGACACGGCCCAGACUCCUACGGGAGGCAGCAGUGGGGAAUUUUCCGCAAUGGGCGAAAGCCUGACGGAGCAAUACCGCGUGCGGNAGGACGCUUUUUGGAGUGUAAACCGCUUUUCUCAAGGAAGAUGAUGACGGUACUUGAGGAAUCAGCAUCGGCUAACUUCGUGCCAGCAGCCGCGGUAAUACGAGGGAUGCAAGCGUUAUCCGGAAUUAUUGGGCGUAAAGCGUUCGUAGGUGGCAAAUUAAGUCUGUUGUUAAAACGUGGAGCUUAACUCCAUAUCGGCAAUGGAAACUGGUUAGCUAGAGUAUGGUAGGGGUAACAGGAAUUCCCAGUGUAGCGGUGAAAUGCGUAGAUAUUGGGAAGAACACCAGCGGCGAAAGCNUGUUACUGGGCCAUUACUGACACUGAGGGACGAAAGCUAGGGGAGCGAAAGGGAUUAGAUACCCUGGUAGUCC
rnacentral:rRNA from 1 species